ACCUGGGAUAGCUCAGGCAGUAAGAGCAUGAGAUGCUUAAUCUCAGGUCAUGGGUUCGAGCCCCAUGCUGGGUA